GUUUCAUUCCUCGACACGAAGCGUAAGGUGAUACAUCGCAGCCAUACAUGAAGAGGCUUCUCUCGUUUAGUUGGCUUCAACGGGAAUCGAUUGCUUCUCCUGGAUGCCUAAGAAGAAGUCGACCGACGCCCUCGCAACGGCGUAAUACUUCGUUUUUCAAUAAAUGAUUUCUCACGUUCUGCGAAAUUAUUGGACAUCCUGUUACCCACGUAGAUACGUAUGCAAAAUCGGUGCUACAUCGCUGCUCUUCCUCCAGUAAUUUGAUCGCGGGAAACACAUGUGUAAAUUCGCAAGGCUGACCACACGGCAGAUUUUGGCGAGUAUGUCUAUGCACUUUGCUGGUGCAUCCUGUCGAUUCACGAAUAUGCAGUACAAGAAAUAUGAGAAAAAUCACGAUAUUACCUGCAACAACUGCACGUUGGCGUUCACCUCGGAAACGAUUUUCGCUCUCAUCUUGACGCAAACGAGCACUUGAACGCUAACGGAAUCCUCCGAAAGUGCACUCGAAUGAUCGGCGAACUACAAUCGAUAGAGAUUCAAUUCGACAAUCGAAUCUGAUUUCGCAAAAAGAGUAGAUGUACUCAAAAAAAUUCUAUUUAAUGAUAAGAAUAAAAGAGAUCGAGAGAGGUAUAUAUGUACUUUUGAUAUACUUUUGAUAACCGACAGAUUUCCUCAACAAUAUUUCACAGUGAUACUAUUUUAAUGCUAUACAAUUCUUUUCACAAAGAUACGAACUUUAGAUUACUUUUUUUAUACAUCGUUAUGACCUACACUCGAUUAUAAUCAAUACAAUCAUUUUCAUCAAUUAGUUUUAAGCUUUAGAUCGUACUAGUUAUAAUUUUUCUCCGUUUAAUCACAUAACAUAUCGUUACUCCCAUUCGUUCGUUUUUAUAUCCAUUUGAAAGAAAAUCGAAAUCUCUAUUAAUGGUUUUAUAUAUAAUAAAUCGAGAAAUAAAGACGAUAUUUAUGGAUAUGUAAAAAAAAGUGGUAGAAAAGACAAUUCCUAUAACUGUUACUAGUACAUUAUAUUUUUUAAAAAUUUGCAAAGAGUAUCUUUUCUAUCGAUUUUAGAAUUAUCAGUAAAAUUAUCUGUAUUAUAGAAAUAUUUCAUUAACGAAAAAUAUACAUUGAUGAUAGAAAAUAAUUUCUCAGGAAAAUAAACACGUUAAACAAAAAAAAGGUAUCGAUGAAAUGAAUCAGAGAGAAAAUGUUGUUGAGAAAAUAAUGUAAACAUUGACGAAUAAUAUUAUAAUAGCUUUAACCUUGAGGUAAGAUAGUUCCUCGAGACAAUUUACUACGUCGCCCUUGACCAUUAAAAAUAAGACAUCCAAAUCCCAAGUGUGAGCUAUCAUCUUGGAUUCCUGCAUGACCCAGAGCCUAGCAGUGUGGACCGAGUGAUCGAGCCUGUGAAGAACGACGAUCUGUUCUGAAAUCGGCAAUUCCAUUAACGGCGCGCCGAUCACCCAUUCACCUCCGACCUCGCACUCGUUGCUCAGCGUUACCAGUAAUUGGAAAAGCUCGGCGAACAUUUGACCCGUGUCCGUGCCCUAGAAAACGGGUAAAGGGAAAUCGUUAAACGGGUUAUAAUUAAAUCCGACGGGAUGGUCAAGAUAUUUGAAAUUUAAAUUCUAUACCUACUACGAAGUGUAUUAUUAAAGAAAAAAAAAGAGGAAACAAGAGAUAGAUAGAUAUACAUAUUCAUUUUAUAUCCAUAAUACCUACAAUUAACAAAUCGAGCUAAAGUUACAAAUAAAACAAACAAGAUAGAGUCAGUUAAUAUUAAAUAGAGAAAGAGAGAGGAAAAUGGAGAGAAAAAGAGAAAGGAUUUAAAUGCAUAACACUUCUAACGAAUAAAGUAAGAGUAUUACAUAAAAACAAAUACAACGUAAAAGAAAUAAAACUAGUUAAACGUAUUAAGUAGAAAGAGUGUUAAAGAGAAAGGAAGAGAGAGUAGGAAAAAAGAAGACCAACCUCAGUAGUAGAAGGUCUCGAUUGGCAUUCGAAGGCAGAUGUAUACGCUAAUCGAAAUAAUUGGUCCCAAGAUGUGAUAGUAACAUGAUAACCGAGAGCAUCGCAUAAGUUUUGUAAAGCAGGUCUCACCGUCGGCGGAACUAAAAUUUGAUUGUCGAAUUAUUCGAACUCUUCGACGUCGAACGUAUAUUUCAUAAAGUGAUUACGUGCCUCACCCGCAUUUUUUUGAAUGAAUUGUCUCAACCAGUUUUUUAGGUGUUCCGCU